rnacentral:rRNA from 1 species
GAUGAACGCUGGCGGCGUGCUUAACACAUGCAAGUCGAACGAAGCACUUUAUUUGAUUUCCUUCGGGACUGAUUAUUUUGUGACUGAGUGGCGGACGGGUGAGUAACGCGUGGGUAACCUGCCUUGUACAGGGGGAUAACAGUUGGAAACGGCUGCUAAUACCGCAUAAGCGCACAGCAUCGCAUGAUGCAGUGUGAAAAACUCCGGUGGUAUAAGAUGGACCCGCGUUGGAUUAGCUAGUUGGUGAGGUAACGGCCCACCAAGGCGACGAUCCAUAGCCGACCUGGGAGGGUGACCGGCAACAUUGGGACUGAGACACGGCCCAAACUCCUACGGGAGGCAGCAGUGGGGAAUAUUGCACAAUGGGCGAAAGCCUGAUGCAGCGACGCCGCGUGAGCGAAGAAGUAUUUCGGUAUGUAAAGCUCUAUCAGCAGGGAAGAUAAUGACGGUACCUGACUAAGAAGCACCGGCUAAAUACGUG